rnacentral:rRNA from 1 species
UACGAAGGGUGCAAGCGUUAUUCGGAAUCAUUGGGCGUAAAGCGCGCGCAGGCGGAUUAAUAAGUCGGGUGUGAAAUCUCGAAGCUCAACUUCGAAACUGCGCCUGAAACUAUUAGUCUAGAAUGUCGGAGGGGGCAGGGGAAUUUCACGUGUAGGGGUAAAAUCCGUAGAGAUGUGAAGGAACACCGGAGGCGAAGGCGCCUGCCUGGACGACUAUUGACGCUGAGGCGCGAAAGCGUGGGGAGCAAACAGG